rnacentral:rRNA from 1 species
AACGAACGCUGGCGGCGUGGAUAAGACAUGCAAGUCGAACGGGAGAAUUGCUAGCUUGCUAAUAAUUCUCUAGUGGCGCACGGGUGAGUAACACGUGAGUAACCUGCCUCUUAGUGGGGGAUAGCCCUGGGAAACCGGGAUUAAUACCGCAUACGAUUGAAAGAUCAAAGCAGCAAUGCGCUAGGAGAUGGGCUCGCGGCCUAUUAGUUAGUUGGUGAGGUAACGGCUCACCAAGGCGAUGACGGGUAGCCGGUCUGAGAGGAUGUCCGGCCACACUGGAACUGAGACACGGUCCAGACACCUACGGGUGGCAGCAGUCGAGAAUCAUUCACAAUGGGGGCAACCCUGAUGGUGCGACGCCGCGUGGGGGAAUGAAGGUCUUCGGAUUGUAAACCCCUGUCAUGUGGGAGCAAAUUAAAAAGAUAGUACCACAAGAGGAAGAGACGGCUAACCCUGUGCCAGCAGCCGCGGUAAUACAGAGGUCUCAAGCGUUGUUCGGAAUCACUGGGCGUAAAGCGUGCGUAGGCUGUUUCGUAAGUCGUGUGUGAAAGGCAGGGGCUCAACCCCUGGAUUGCACAUGAUACUGCGAGACUAGAGUAAUGGAGGGGGAACCGGAAUUCUCGGUGUAGCAGUGAAAUGCGUAGAUAUCGAGAGGAACACUCGUGGCGAAGGCGGGUUCCUGGACAUUAACUGACGCUGAGGCACGAAGGCCAGGGGAGCGAAAGGGAUUAGAUACCCCUGUAGUCCUGGCAGUAAACGGUGCACGCUUGGUGUGCGGGGAAUCGACCCCCUGCGUGCCGGAGCUAACGCGUUAAGCGUGCCGCCUGGGGAGUACGGUCGCAAGAUUAAAACUCAAAGAAAUUGACGGGGACCCGCACAAGCGGUGGAGUAUGUGGCUUAAUUCGAUGCAACGCGAAGAACCUUACCUGGGCUUGACAUGUAAUGAACAACAUGUGAAAGCAUGCGACUCUUCGGAGGCGUUACACAGGUGCUGCAUGGCCGUCGUCAGCUCGUGUCGUGAGAUGUUUGGUUAAGUCCAGCAACGAGCGCAACCCCUGUUGCCAGUUACCAUCGAGUAAUGUCGGGGACUCUGGCGAGACUGCCCAGAUCAACUGGGAGGAAGGUGGGGACGACGUCAGGUCAGUAUGGCCCUUAUGCCCAGGGCUGCACACGUACUACAAUGCCCAGUACAGAGGGGGCCGAAGCCGCGAGGCGGAGGAAAUCCUGAAAACUGGGCCCAGUUCGGACUGUAGGCUGCAACCCGCCUACACGAAGCCGGAAUCGCUAGUAAUGGCGCAUCAGCUACGGCGCCGUGAAUACGUUCCCGGGUCU